rnacentral:rRNA from 1 species
AGGAUGAACGCUGGCGGCGUGCCUAAGACAUGCAAGUCGAGCGGUAAGGCCCUUCGGGGUACACGAGCGGCGAACGGCUGAGUAACGCGUGGGAAUCCACCCCAAAGUGAGGGAUAAGCACCGGAAACGGUGUCUAAUACCGCAUGUGGUCUUCGGAUUAAAGUUUUAUACGCUUUGGGAGGAGCCCGCGUCCGAUUAGGUUGUUGGUGAGGUAAUGGCUCACCAAGCUGACGAUCGGUAACUGGUCUGAGAGGAUGAUCAGUCAGACUGGAACUGAGACACGGUCCAGACUCCUACGGGAGGCAGCAGUCAGGAAUAUUCCACAAGUGGGGC